UACGUAGGGUGCGAGCGUUAAUCGGAAUUACUGGGCGUAAAGUGUGCGCAGGCGGCAGAGCAAGUCGAGUGUGAAAGCCCCGGGCUUAACUUGGGAAUUGCGCUCGAAACUACUUUGCUGGAGUGUGGCAGAGGAAGGUGGAAUUCCACGUGUAGCGGUGAAAUGCGUAGAGAUGUGGAGGAACACCAAUGGCGAAGGCAGCCUUCUGGGCCAACACUGACGCUCAUGCACGAAAGCGUGGGGGGCAAACAGG
rnacentral:rRNA from 1 species